CCAAUAGCGUAUAUUAAAGUUGUUGCAGUUAAAAAGCUCGUAGUUGAAUUUCGGGGUUAGCAGGUCGGUCGUGCCAUCGGUAUGAACUGGUCUCGCUGAUCCCUCCCUCUUGACGAACUGUGAUGCCAUUAAUUUGGUGUCGCAGGGAAUCAGGACUGUUACUUUGAAAAAAUUAGAGUGUUUAAAGCAGGCUCACGCUUGAAUACAUUAGGAUGGAAUAAUGAAAUAGGACGUUUGAUCCUAUUUUGUUGGUUUCUAGGAUUGACGUAAUGAUUAAUAGGGAUAGUUGGGGGCAUUAGUAUUCAAUUGUCAGAGGUGAAAUUCUUGGAUUUAUUGAAGACUAACUACUGCGAAAGCAUUUGCCAAGGAUGUUUUCAUUAAUCAAGAACGAAAGUUAGGGGAUCGAAGACGAUCAGAUACCGUCGUAGUCUUAACCAUAAACUAUGCCGACUAGGGAUCGGAUGAUGUUAAUUUUUUAAUGACUCAUUCGGCGCCUUACG
rnacentral:rRNA from 1 species